CCUCCCCUCACUCUCCGCACAACUGUCGUUUGUCCCCACCUCUCCUCUUGCUGGAACCAGAUCGUAUCGAGGACGCCACCGGAUCGAGGGCUGCGCUGCUGGGGACUCCCUCCUCCUCCUCCACGACUCGCUCUUGACCCGAUCCGCGCCGAGGACUACGAGCUGUACGAGGAGAUCGGCCAGGGCGUCAGCGCCAUCGUCUACCGCGCGCUCUGCAAGCCGCUCGACGAGACCAUUGCCGAGACCGCUCCUCCCACGCCGCCAACGCCUCCUCGCUCCCCCCGGACCGCCCCAACUGUGAGCGCCUCGAUCCCCUUCCCGCUGCUAACCCAGGUUUAAUUUGUGCAUGGAUUCGGCUGGCACUUGCGGGCCCUUCCCUGCUAGUUAGGUUUAUUCGGAUUGGGAGGUUUGAGCUGGCGGGGUUGCGAAUAGAUUCUUUAUUACGCUAAUGAUUUUUUUUUCUUACUGUUGUUCCAUGGAUUGCUAGAAUGAAUCGUGCCAUCAUGCUAGGUCCUGUUCUGUUGAUUAAAUAGAUGGAUGAUGUUUUGGAUUUGAUAUGUCAACCGAGUAGGUAUGAAGUGAUUCUCAUGGGCAUGAAUGGACAUCCUUAAAGUGUUCAUUAUAGUGAAGGCACAUUUGGAGAAUUUUGGGGUGAUGAUUUUGGACUUUUGUUGCCCCUUUUAACAAGGCAAAAGGCUGCCUGAGGAAAUAAAACCUCGAAUUUAGAUGGUAUGAAUACCUUGUUCUCUACCGGUAGAGCAACAAACAGGGACUUUUUUGUCUCUAUGCGUGUACGCUUUUCCCUACAUGGCAAGCAUUCUCAGAACUUAUAUCAGCAUGAUUACGUUGUAAGAAUGACAACCAUUCGUUGACUAAGGUGUCGUUUCAUUACCCUUAGAUGGUAAGAUGUUCCCCUCUCCUUAGCCAUCUAACAUAUGGGGCCCACAGAGAAUUUUCUGCUGCUGCCCAGUGUUGUCGCUGAUCCUGGGCUGGUAAACUAUAUUCCCGUGGUUCUACGAUGAGGGAGAAGAGAUGUCUUGAGAGGCAGAAAGUAGGAUUGUGUGAUGUUGUCUGUUGAUGUGAGGAAGGGGAGGAGCAUGAUGGUCCCGCUGCUGCGGUGAGGGACAAGGGAGUGGUUCUGGGAAUUAGGUAACAGGAGUAGAUGGGUCCAUUAGAUGAUGGCCUUUUAAGCCAUGUGGCGGGUGGGCAUUAUAUACCCAUCUCUUGGUCUUUUUUCCUUUUGUCUUAUCAUGUGAUGUUUGCUCUGUUUCCAGGAUUUCUAUGGCGCUACUAUACUGCCUUAUAUAUAAGCACUUCCAAUUAUUUCUAUGGCACACUAUAAUUUGCUAUAUAUGCCCAUGAUGUACCACCAUUUGUGAAUUGUUUCCGAGAAACUGCAGAUAGUACGUGACGUAAGUUUUGAAAGACUGUUGGCAGAUGAUAUGUGUGUUUCUUAGUUAUUUAUUUAUCCUAAUGAGAGAGAUACAUAUUUCGAUGUUGUACAAUUUGGUGGUAGAAACUGUAAAUUGUUUUGCUAUGAGAAACCAUCUUGAUGGUUGACUACGGUAGCCUCCUUAUGAUAUCAGCAGCUUAAGAUCUGUAUUGAUCCUCGCUUGUCCUUGCAGUAGAUGAAAUUGACCAGGUUGCUUUUCUGAUGGCAUUAAUUGCAUGCCAUUUGUGUGCUCAAGAAACUGCUGGAAAAUUGUUUGCUAGCUAUAAUCAUAUUUAUUCCAUUAAUGGCCUACUUGUGUUUAGUCUGAGACUAUUCCCUGCAACUUUAAGUCACUUGAUCAGUAUCUCCUUUGUGCCUAAUACUACCUUGGUAAAUGGUAAUCAUCCAUCUGUUGGCAGUUGAAUAGAUCUGAGCCAUGUUUUUCUUUGUCAUGUUGAGCCAAAGCAUUUUGUUGUGUUUUCAAUAUAUGCAUGCAUAUGUAUUCCAAUCAAAUAUUUUACCUGAAGGUACGUCUAUUGCUCCUUAAUUAUUGGGCAAGCCAUUGUCAAAUAUGAAUCUGUUCUAAUGAUGCUUGAAUGUCAAAUAGGCUUUAAUCAGAGUAAAGUUAAGGUUUGGAAGGAUAUUAAUGAUUUUUGGCCUAAAUAAGUACAUCCAGUUAAGAGACAUUUUGCACCCCUUUCUCCUGAAACGUUGAUUAAUUUCCGUUUCGAUUGAGAAUGGGGCACUCCUAGGUCAAGAAAAUUAGCAAACGUCAUGCCCAAUUUUCUUCAUCAUAUCAAUUUGCGUGUUUUAUUCUCAGUUUUCCUCUAAAUCUGAGAAGAAUAGAUACUACCCUGAUCUCAUCCAAUAACUCUAGUAGCCUUUUUUUCUAUUUAGAGCGAACAUGGCCAACAACGAUGAGGCCGGCGGUUCGGGCAAGCCAUUCUGGGAGCUGUCCCAAGAGCUGGAGGAAGAACCUCACUACAAUGAGGACGUCGGGGAACACACCAAUCCCGACUACACAACCCCUAGUGGCGUCUCGGAUGACACUACUGAUGGUGCCUCCGGGGAUGCCACCACUGAUGAUGGCAGCGGAUGCACAGAUGGCAGCCAACCGAAGAAGCAACGGAAGGACUGGCGCCCGAACGUGCUCGGCACCGUCAAGGAGGAAUUUACUAAAGUGUCCUCUAGUGGGCAUCCAACGGCACCCAAAGAAUUAGUCGGUAGGUACGCGGGACAACUGGGUGCAUUCUCCGGAGCAGCGUCUCGAUCAACACCGAGAACCUAAUGCAUCAAGACCGAGCAAAUUUGUGCAACCUCCUCUUCACGAAGAUGCACGAACGAUACAAGUUCCCCGGCAACGUCGCAAACACACGUCUCUCAGGGAAUAAAGUGAAUACUACCGCCCUCACGAAGAUGAGCACGACCCUGGCUACUUGGAGAGCCAUGGUGAAGAGAAGGAUUCUUAGAGGUGAUAGUUAUGAGAAGAUCAAGGAGACAAAUCCUUCGAUCAGCGAAGCUGACUACCUGGAGGUCAAGAUCAAGUGCGGGAGCAACGCAUCCGCGGAAUCAAGUCAGUGGGGGAAACAUAUGCAUGACUUGAACUUAGGGGUCCACAAACUUGGUCCCGACGGUUACAGAGUGGCGGAACCUAAAUGGGACAAGGAGGACGCGGAGCGUGCUGAGCAAGGCCUACCGCCCCUCUUCGAUAAAUACCAUGAAAAGCAGACCAGGAACUAUGGCAGGGCCCGGUACAAGGUGGACCCGGUAACAAAGGAGCUUACCACGGAUCCAAAGGUGAAGGAGCUUGAGCGUGUUCUGGUAAGGAAUACACCCCCACGUAAUUAGCUCCAUAUGGUUGCAUUCUAAUUAAUGAAGCCAAAAUUCUAAAUGGUUCACGUUCCUUCCGCAGGAAACUGAAAGCAGUAGCGCGGGGUCUCAGAGCUCCCCAUUUGUCCCUUGGGACACCACUUUAAAUAGGGCGUUGAACGUAAUGAAACACAAGGAUAAGUUCAGUAAGCCAUCGUCAUUUGGUCGUGUGGCCGGCGAAGGCUUGUCCACGAAAUGGUCGGAAUACUAUAAGGCUGGGCGAAAGGAGAGAAAGACCAGCUCGGAGAGCCAGGAGCGCGAGGUUAAAGAACUCAAGGCACAAGUGGCGCGGAUUCCGGAGAUAGUCCAAGAGCAAGUUCGAGACCAACUGGGAGCGACGAUCACCGCCAUUAUGCCUUCCUUGCUUGAGGGGCUGCGGGGUGUAUUUUGGGCAGCCAACAGGGGCCGCCUCCGAUUCUUAGCUUCACGGGCAGCAACUCGCACAACGCAUUGCAGGUGCCUCUGGCGUCGGCGUCGGUAUUGGAGCUUAAUGCACCCAUGUGUGGGAAGAAUACGCCGGCCGGCACCUCAGUACCAAGCGGCCCCUCCGUCACUUGCACGCCCACCGUUGGCGGUGCCUCGACAUUAGCCGAGGUCGAUGCCAUCACGGUAACUAAGCCUUAGUCGAUGACUUCAUCUCCUUGCCUUUGACUGGGCAUCCCUGACGCCCUACAUGUUUUUGCAGGGCGCCGCCAACGUUCCAUGCAUUCUCCUGCACUUCAUGGAUGGCGAAUCGAUGUCGCCAAGGCCAAAAUCGUUGAACCGGGCAACCGCGUGUUCCACGGUAAUGCGAUGCCACCCACCAUUUAUAGGGUUCAACUGGUUCAGGUGCUGCGGGUUUGCGACGACUUGUUACCUCCGUAUCAACCCCCUGGGGCCGACGAAGAUGAUGUGAUGACCCUCAGCGCCUCCUUAAACUAGUCCAUGCUUUGGCCGAAGGGCCAGAUUCGUUUGGGGGCGGGGGACACCACCCCACAGACAACAGCGCCAGUCGUCUGUUCAGUUCUCAAGAGACGCCUCAAGCUGCCGCCUUCACCGGGACUCAAAUAGCCAAUAUUAUCAGCCCCAACACACUCAAGAAGGUGGUCUGUGAGCAGAACUCGAUCCCAUAACAACAGAAGAAGCAGAACGGGUGGGAAAGAAAAAAUAACAAGGGUGCGAGCCAGCCGACACCGAGUACGAUCCGUGCUUAGGAUGGGCCACCAAUAUCUAAGGAUAUCUUGAGGAGGGCGCAUGUGGUGGGUAGGCCGAUGCUACCGACUAAUCUGCUCAUUGCUGCAACCGGUGCUAUGCGGAGUCUACAUGACGUUGUUCUUUAUAUGGAGAAACGGUGGCUUUGUGAGAAUGAUGUGACAUACCCGGUUUUCAUGGCCAAGGUGCCAGAGGGCAAGGGCUUUGUCGAUAGCACCAUCGAGCAUAUGAUCGUCCUGCGGUUUGAUGACAUCUUCGCUAUGCUUAACCUUUAUCCGCUGCACUACACCUUCAUUCGGCUAUUUUCGCUCAAUAUGGAGAUGUGCAUCAUUAGAUACAAGACCUCGGACAUCGUGACAGUCGACCCCUUCUACAUGCAUGCCAAGAUCUUGGACAGUGGUGGGGACCGGCAAGUCGCGAGUUCAUACCUCGAAGGUGUCAUUCUGGCGAACGCAGAUAAGGAUAACUUCCUUGUGCCUUACUUUUCCGAGUAAGUCAUCCCCUCAUGGCCCCGUAACAUAUGAUUUCUUAGAUUUCGAUCAUUUUUUUUCUAACAUUCCAUGUUUUGUGCAGUUACACACAUUGCACACUCAUCCACUUAAGCCCGAAAUAUUCCAUGGCCACGUAUUUCGACUCGGACCGUCAAUCGAAGAAAGACUACACAAAUAUCAAGAAAGUUCUUGAUGAUGCCCUCCCCGGCUACGCCAAAUCUGGAGGCACCUUCACUAGGCCAAUUUGUAGGUACGGCGAGCACGUGUUCACCCACGUAACGACGUUCCCCUGCAUCAAGCAGCCGCCUGGCAGUCAGAAGGAUGCCUACUACGCCCUCCAUCACAUGCGGGCGAUCGUACGGGACCAGCAUCACAGUAUACUACCAAAUGAUCUCAAAGAAUGGGCUGCACGCUUGUCGGCAAUCCAGGACGAGGACAUCAGACAAGAAUUCUUUCACAUCCAGUCGGAGUUUGCGGAAAUCAUCUAUCAAGAUGUCCUUCCUAGAUCGGGGCAGUUCUACCUCAAUUGUCAACCGUCCAACAGUGAAAUUGACACAACGCUACAAAUGCAGGCUGACAACGACCGCAUAUUCAUGACCAUCAUGAAAGACGGCGGCUUCAUCCACGCUCCGUUCCCUGAGUCGAGUCGAAAGUACUGAUGCUAUGCAGUUCUGAAAUAUCGAUUAGCUCAUGUUGUAAUUAAACUUUAAUGAACUUGUAUGUCUCUUUAGUUUGGACAGUCGUUCAACUUAUAUGUAGUCGAUGCUAUUUAUUAGUAGGACCAUGAAUCAUGCUAUUAAUGUGUUUCUUUUCUCUUCCGACUUUUGUUGCAUACUUAUAUAUUUCUUAUAUAUUAUCUGUGAAUUGCUACUAACGUUUUGUUUGUCUAGUGCAUAGAGAUGUCGUCGUACCUCGUGUACAAGGGUGAGGUUCCCGGAGUCUACGACGACUGGGAGGAGUAUCGGAGACAAGUUCACCUUUUCAGUGGUAAAGUUACAAAGGGUACACCACUAGGGCGGAGGCGGAAGCUAGAUACGCGCGCUAUCUAGCGAGAGAGAGGAGGGAGCGGAGGAGGAACCGGUUGAAGAUCAGUUUCAUCGCGAUGAUGCUCAUCGUGACCGCAACCCUCUUCUAUGUGAUGGUACUUUAGAUAUCGACUUGUAAUGUGAAGACAAACUCGCUACUCGCGGUCUCGAGACUUCUAAUGUUCUAACUUUGUUCGUUAUUUUGAAUUCGAAGACUAAUAUGAUGAAUUGUAUUCGGAGACUAA
rnacentral:lncRNA from 1 species